AUGCGGAUAACGAUGCUACUACCCAAGGACGGGAUGAAGGUGAUUAACGGAGGACCAGCUGCUUGCAGAGGGACACAGGCGCUGCCAAGAAAAGCAGAACUGGUACAGUUAAAGCAUUUGGACCACGCUCCCCCUCUCUCUCUUCAUACAUCAAAAUUGCAGCUACCUCUUUUCUUUCUUUGUUGCUGCUUGGUCAGAGCUCUCUUUUUAACUGCUAUGCCUCUUUUGCCAAAUAUAAAUAUAAACAAUCUACUUAUCCGAUUGUUUGUUGGAGCAGCCCAACUUAUCUGA
rnacentral:rRNA from 1 species